rnacentral:lncRNA from 1 species
AUGCAGGCAAGAAUGGUAGACCCUGCUGUACCCCACAGUUCCUUUAAAGCCCAGUGGGCAGAAGGAAGGGCAUGGCAUCAGCUCACAGCACUACAGGAGCCUGUGGUUCAUCAGUAUCUGAACCUGGAUCUUAGGGAUCUUCUUUUGCUGAGCCUGGGACCAGACCAAGAGGAUACACGGCACAGUGCUUUUGACCAUCUUGACCAGAACCACAAAGUACUGGAAAGAUCUCAGGAAUGGAUGUUCUCUACUGAUUUCCAAACCUUAGGAAUAACUUUUUAA